rnacentral:rRNA from 1 species
GGGGAAUCUUCCGCAAUGGGCGCAAGCCUGACGGAGCAACGCCGCGUGAGUGAAGAAGGUCUUCGGAUCGUAAAGCUCUGUUGACGGGGACGAACGUGCGGAGUGCGAAUAGCGCUUUGUAAUGACGGUACCUGUCGAGGAAGCCACGGCUAACUACGUGCCAGCAGCCGCGGUAAUACGUAGGUGGCGAGCGUUGUCCGGAAUCAUUGGGCGUAAAGGGAGCGCAGGCGGGCCGGUAAGUCUUACUUAAAAGUGCGGGGCUCAACCCCGUGAUGGGAGAGAAACUAUCGGUCUUGAGUACAGGAGAGGAAAGCGGAAUUCCCAGUGUAGCGGUGAAAUGCGUAGAUAUUGGGAAGAACACCAGUGGCGAAGGCGGCUCUCUGGACUGCAACUGACGCUGAGGCUCGAAAGCCAGGGGAGCGAACGGGAUUAGAUACCCCGGUAGUCCUGGCCGUAAACGAUGGAUACUAGGUGUGGGAGGUAUCGACCCCUACCGUGCCGGAGUUAACGCAAUAAGUAUCCCGCCUGGGGAGUACGGCCGCAAGGCUG